rnacentral:misc_RNA from 1 species
GAUGAAGAACGUAGCGAAAUGCGAUACUUGGUGUGAAUUGCAGAAUCCCGUGAACCAUCGAGUCUUUGAACGCAAGUUGCGCCCGAAGCCAUUAGGCCGAGGGCACGCCUGCCUGGGCGUCACACGUCGUUGCCCCCCCAUCUACUCCUUCGGGAUUGCGGGGGGCGGAUGAUGGCCUCCCGUGCGCCUCGUCGCGCGGUUGGCAUAAAUGCCAAGUCCUCGGCGACGCACGCCACGACAAUCGGUGGUUGCGAAACCUCGGUUGCCCGUCGUGUGCGGUCGUCGCGCAUCGAGGGCUCGAAAAAAUUGCCGAGUUCCGGCUCGGCUUUCAACGCGACCCCAGGUCAGGCGGGGUUACCCGCUGAAUUUAAGCAUAUCAAUAGCGGGGA